ACCUGAUCCCUUGCCGAACUCAGUAGUGAAACCGCUCAGCGCCGAUGGUAGUGUGGGGUCUCCCCAUGUGAGAGUAGGUCAUCGUCAGGC
rnacentral:rRNA from 1 species